rnacentral:lncRNA from 1 species
AUGGUACCUGUGACAAAAAAUCACCUGAUUUUUUUAUUUUAUUUUAACCUUUCGCCGCCUGAAGGAAGGACCAUUCCCACAGUAGGCGGUGGAUUCAUCAGAGUACUCAAACAGAAAUCAAGACAUGUCCUGAACUCAAGAUUCACCAGGAUCCACCUGCAGUCCACAGCGACUCUGGUGAAGUCUGUGCAAAGCUAUCAGAGCUUCUGGAUGAGUUCCACCACAAAGAGGGACUAAAUGUGGAGGAAGUGAAAAGGGAGGACAACGAGGAAGGUGACGUUGAUUGUAAGCUUGUCUCGGUAAGCCACAGUUCUACCAUAAGAACCAUUCACUCGCAUUUAACUACGUGCAUCUUCUGUGUCUGUUUGGUCACGUCAUCAGAAAUGCACACCGCAAGCGUUGGGGCUGCAGACUUCCCCAACAUCGCAGCAUCGCAGGCACAACCAACAGUGGGAUUACUCCACCUAGGAAGCGGUUGAAGUCUCCUGUGUGGGAAUGCUAAAGGAGAAAUCCAGGACCACGGGACCUCAGCGACGUUAGCAGUGAGUUCUGUAUUCGACAGACAUUCACACUCAUUAAACAAAAACCUAGAAACUUUAUUUACUACUAAUUUACUUACUAACUUUAUUAUUUAUGACUUUCACAAGUCUGAAAGUGCAUGAUUUACAUGGAUGUUACAAGCUGAAAGGCACUAUAAUCGAUGUAAAUUAAAUCAUCUCCUGUCGUUCCAUUUGGAACUUUUAUUUUGAAGCCCUGCACAACCGUCAAAAGCACAGCGAGUGCCUUAAAUCAGAAGAAUCACUUCGCAUUUUCACAUUUUAUUGACUGCAACAACUGAAAACCCAACCACAGGCAUACAUGACUUGGUGAAAGUGAAGAUUUCUAGGUUUUUGUUUAAUGAGUCUGAAUGUGUAUGAGUAUGAACUCACCGCUAACUUGCACAAAAAACAUUGCGUCCAACGCUCGCUCGUAUCAUUCCAGACAGAUCAUUCGUUCCUGGUCUUCCAUCAGAAACGGCUUCACUAUCGUUGUAACCACGUAUCUGUAAUUGUCAUGGCCGCCGUCCCACCGCCUGGCCCCCAGGGGGCAGACGACAACGACCGCGAUCCGUAAACGAAGGAGAAUGGGGUUCAACAUAAAACCGGGCAGCCAUCUCCGCCCGCCCUUUGAGAUCGUUUCUUUGAUGCUGGCCUUCCUGAUCUUUGACCUCUUGCCCGAAUAACCUGCCUGCUCCCUU